UACCUCGCCGGCUGGAAGGUUUCCCUUCCAGCUGGCGAGGUACAUGUACCUCGCCAUGUACCUCGCCAGCUGGAAGGUUUCCCUUCCAGCCGUCGAGGUA
rnacentral:miRNA from 1 species